rnacentral:rRNA from 1 species
UACGUAGGCAGCAAGCGUUGUUCGGAGUUACUGGGCGUAAAGGGUGUGUAGGCGGUUGUUUAAGUUUGGUGUGAAAUCUCCCGGCUCAACUUGGAGGGUGCGCCGAAUACUGAAUGACUAGAGUGCGGGAGAGGUAAGUGGAAUUCCUGGUGUAGCGGUGAAAUGCGUAGAGAUCGGGAGGAACACCAGUGGCGAAGGCGGCUACCUGGAGCAGAACUGACACUGAGGCACGAAAGCGUGGGGAGCAAACAGG